UACGGAGGGUGCAAGCGUUAAUCGGAAUUACUGGGCGUAAAGCGUGCGUAGGCGGUUCGUUAAGUCAGAUGUGAAAGCCCCGGGCUCAACCUGGGAACUGCAUUUGAAACUGGCGGACUAGAGUUUAGUAGAGGGGAGUGGAAUUUCAGGUGUAGCGGUGAAAUGCGUAGAUAUCUGAAGGAACACCAGUGGCGAAGGCGACUCCCUGGACUAAAACUGACGCUGAGGUACGAAAGCGUGGGUAG
rnacentral:rRNA from 1 species